rnacentral:rRNA from 1 species
GACGAACCGUGCAAACGUUGUUCGGAAUCACUGGGCUUAAAGGGCGCGUAGGCGGCUUGCCAAGUCAGUGGUGAAAUCCUGCAGCUUAACUGUAGAAGUGCCUUUGAUACUGGCGAGCUCGAGGGAGGUAGGGGUCUGUGGAACUUCUGGUGGAGCGGUGAAAUGCGUUGAUAUCAGAAGGAACGCCGGUGGCGAAAGCGACGGACUGGACCUCUUCUGACGCUGAGGCGCGAAAGCCAGGGGAGCAAACGGG